rnacentral:lncRNA from 1 species
AAAUCAUAGUAGAGGGCUCACAGUAACGAAGAAAGCACCAAGCACUGGCUGGGAGCUGAGACCUCUGACUGCUCAGAACAAACCAAAGAGAUUAAACUUUAUGUAAGGAGCAACAACCAGAACAGGCUAAUUUUAGACGAAUACCAGUUCCCAGAUCACUGGUUUAGAAAAACACUACCCUGCUUGGCAAAUCCAGUCCACUUUCCUGAGAGGAUUUCUAUGGCAGAGGAGCUGGCAAGCUGCCUUUUAUAGAAAGGCCGUCUGCAAUGGAUGCGCCCACUUCCUGGUCCCUCAGCCCCAGCUGUCACUUUUCAACCCACUACAAUGAAGUCUCCGUUUCCACGGAAAACGCUCUUAUGGAGGUGAACGGCCUCCCAAUGGCCAAAGGUGAGACGGCUUCCCGGCUUCUCUCCUGAGCUCUGUAGAACCUCACGCUGGCCCCUCUCCCGUGGCCUGACUCCCUCCUAGUGCGGCUUCCAGCUCCCCAUCCUUUCUGUUCCCUCCCACACACCUGACCGCUGUUUUCCUCCAGCAUCCCCUUCUGAUCGGCUCUUCCACCUUCUCCCAGGAUUCUCCUCAUCCAAACCCACAGCCAGGGCUUCCCCAGUGUCAAGCACCAGGCUACCCUCUCUUCUGGGUGCCAGACCCACACAUCCUGCGAGCUGGUGCGCUUCUCCCCCUGAGUGCCCCGUAGGCCCCUCAAACUCAACGAGUCAGCUCCAUGAAGUGGGGGCCAAACUGCUCUGUGGGUCACCCUCGAUCCUAAGACCCUAAUGCGGCAUGUGGCAUGCCAUUGGCAUUCCAUAAAUGACUGUUGAAUGUUCCAAACCAAAUUCAUUGAUUUUUCCCUUAAAAUUGCCUCUCUUCUUGGAAUCCCCAUCUCAGUGAAUGACACCAUCCAAUCAUCCAAGUCGAGUCCUUAGGUCAUCCUAGCUGUCCCUUCCCCACCUCCCCACCCAGCAUCCAUUCAGUGUCAAGCUGUGCAGCUCUCAUCUCCAUAACGUUCCUUGUGCCAGAUCCCUCCUGCCCAACCCAGAACCACCACCUUGCGGGAGGCUCUCACAUCUGAACGUGAGCAGCAUGACCGCCUCCUUUAGACCUUCCACCCCUGGUCUGGCAGCCUCAGAUUCACUGCCCCAGGAUCCUCACACUCUGACCCCAUCUGCCUCUCUAGGUAGAAUGCAGGGGACUAGAUGGGGAGCCAGUCUGGUUGGGGGAUCAGGAGACUUCUGUGAGGAAGUGCCUAUUGAGAUGACCUCUGCAAGAUAGUAGGAGGUGGUUAGGCAAAGACCUGUGGGGUGGCAGAGGGCAGAGCAGCAAGCAUUACAGAGGAAACAGGUGUCCAAGGGUUCUAAGGUUGGCAGGGGCACAGCACGUUCUAGAAGCUACAAGACAGCCGGUGUGGCUGGAGCCCAGGCAGCAAAAUGCAGCAUCUGGCCAGAUGAGGCUGCAGGGGAAACAGGGACCGGAUGGCCCAGGGGCUGGGGAUGCAGGCAAGAAUUUUAGUUUCUACUUCAGAACACCAGGAAGCAGAAGAGUGACAUGAUCAAGUCUGCCUUUUGAAAAGAUCCCUCUUCAAAAAUGCUUAGUUAAUGAAGUAAUGAUGGAUAAUUUCCUAACAUGAUAAAAUGCAGAUAUCGCAACCAAAAUUCAGCAUUUAGAAAGGGAACACUAGUCGCAUUUCACUAUUGAAAAGCAAGACACAAUGUCCGCUAUCAUUGUUCUUUGAGGAGCUGGCCAACAUAAUUGGGUGAGAAAGAAAUUAGAGAUUUAAAAAUGAGGAAAAAAGAGGUACAGCUCUCACUAUUUGCAUAUGAUAUGCCUAUACAGCUAAAAACCCCCAAAGAAUCCAUUAAGAAACUACUCAAACCAUAAGAGAAUUCAGUAGGGUGGUAGAAGCAAGUUAAUAUGUAGAAAUCAAUAACUUGCUUGUAUAUGAACAAUAACCAGUUUCAAGAGAUAUUAGAAGGAAAGGCCUCCAUUUAUAAUAGAAGCAAGAGGGUGAAAUUAACAGUAAAUGAAACAAGAGUUGUACAAGAUCCUUAUGAAGAGAAUUUAAAUUAACCUGAGGGACGCAGAAAACUUGAUGUCCAUUCCUGGACAGGAAGAUUCAACAAUAAGACAAUGUCAAUGCUUCCUAAAUUAAUCUAUAAACAUAAUGCAACCCCAAUAAAAAUAACAAUGGGAGUCUUAAACAUCAGAACACUCUUGAUUUUGGAGUUUAUAUGAAAAGCUCCCUCUGGCUGCAGUGUGGCUGGCUAUGGACUGAAGAGUGAGAGUGGGCGGGCUGGCGGGUGACCUAGGACACCUGGCAGGGAUCCUGCUGAAG